rnacentral:lncRNA from 1 species
CCGGGAACCCCGAACAUCCCCUUUCUCUACUCUUUCCCUUUGGAGUCUAUAGAGGGAGAAGCAGAGCCUAAGGCUUCAUCAGUUUGAAUACUGGCUGGGGCUGGGCAAGUUAGUGGCUCAAAGUGUUGAAUCUGUCCCUAAAGCAGGGACAGAAAUGGAGGCUCAGGAGGUAGAGGUGGCAGUGGGCGUGCAGGAGAAGCUGUAGGUCAGGAGGUAGAGGUGGCAGUGGGCGUGCAGGAGAACUGUAGGUCAGAGUGGAGAGGUGGCAGUGGGCGUGCAGGAGAAGGUGUAGGUCAGGGGGUAGAGGUGGCAGUGGGCGUGCAGGAGAAGCUGUAGGUCGGGAGGUAGAGGUGGCAGUGGGCGUGCAGGAGAAGCUGUAGGUCAGGGGGCAGAGGUGGCAGUGGGCGUGCAGGAGAAGCUGUAGGUCGGAGAGGGUGCAGAGUGGAGAACAGAUGAGCUGGAGUCACACCAUGCCCUAUACCCAGCCAGAGGCCGAAGUGAGCCUGUCACGGUAAUGCCACUGCCUGCUUGAUUCCCUCCCAUGCCUAGCCUGGGUUCUUCAUGAUCCCUGAGGCCCUCUUUGAUGUCAUCCCGCUGCCUCAAAACCUGUGUGUGCUGGUGGCUCCCUCUGCUUUCCUUCCAGAUGACUCCUUCGCUUCAGCUCAAAUGUCACCUUUGGCUGUUAAAAUCCUUUCCGGAGGAAGUUGUAAACAAUGCCUACCCCUCCUCCCGAGGUCUCUGAUUCCACUCCAGGGAAGAUUGCUCUGGGGGAGCCAAUGAGUUUGUUGGGAUUACUUCCAGAGCAUAGGUGAGGGGUUAGUUACUUGAAUAUGAGUGCUGCCCACCAAAAGACCGCACUGAAAAGUCUUUACCCAGCAGGGGUGAUGGU